GAAUCCCGUCUUUGGCACGGAUGUACCAGGGCUUUCGUGAUGCGCUCUCGAAGAGUCGAGUUGUUUGGGAAUGCAGCUCAAAAUGGGUGGUGAACUCCAUCUAAAGCUAAAUAUUGGCGAGAGACCGAUAGCGAACAAGUACCGUGAGGGAAAGAUGAAAAGCACUUUGGAAAGAGAGUGAAACAGUACGUGAAAUUGUUGAAAGGGAAACGCUUGAAGUCAGUCGCGUCGACCGAGACUCAGCCUUGCCUCGGCUUGGCGUACUUCUCGGCUUGACGGGUCAGCAUCGAUUUUGACCCUCGGAUAAUGAUGGGGGAAAUGUGACACCUUUAUGGUGUGUUAUAGUCCUCCGUUGUAUGCGCGGGUUGGGAUCGAGGAACUCAGCACGCACCUCUCGGUGUCGGGGCCUCGGCCCACGUUCACGUGCUUAGGAUGCUGGCGUAAUGGCUUUAAACGACCCGUCUUGAAACACGGACCAAGGAGUCUAACAUACGCGCGAGUGUUUGGGUGGAAAACCCAUGCGCGCAAUGAAAGUAAAAGUUGGGACCUCUGUCGUGGAGGGCACCGACGCCCGGACCAGACCUUCUGUGACGGCUCUGCGGUAGAGCGUGUAUGUUGGGGACCCGAAAGAUGGUGAACUAUGCCUGAAUAGGGUGAAGCCAGAGGAAACUCUGGUGGAGGCUCGUAGCGAUUCUGACGUGCAAAUCGAUCGUCAAAUUUGGGUAUAGGGGCGAAAGACUAAUCGAACCAUCUAGUAGCUGGUUCCUGCC
rnacentral:rRNA from 1 species